rnacentral:rRNA from 1 species
CGUGUAGGCGGGUUUGUAAGUCAGAGGUGAAAUCUCCCGGCUUAACCGGGAAACUGCCUUUGAUACUGCAAAUCUUGAGUUCGGAAGAGAGAGGCGGAAUUCCAGGUGUAGUGGUGAAAUACGUAGAUAUCUGGAAGAACACCAGAAGCGAAGGCGGUCUCUUGGCCCGAUACUGACGCUGAGACGCGAAAGCGUGGGGAGCAAACA